rnacentral:lncRNA from 1 species
AAUGUAUUCAGGAGUUGGGCGGCCCUGGAGCUAUGGGGGUCGUGAACCACUGUUUCCUCAUCCCAAAGUCCUGCAUCGAUUCCUGUUAGCCUCCACCUCUGGUGAGGUCCCACGACCAUGUCACAUCUACCCACAGUGACAUGCCAGCAUCUCUGUGGUCAUCUGCUUCAGCUGCUACGCGUGUCUCCGCUUCUGCGGCUUCUCUGUAGCAGUGCCCUAGAAAUGGUAGGCCACAGAGCUACAGGAAGCCAGCGUGGCCAGAACACACAGGAUGAGCAGGUGCCUGGAGUAUUCUGUCCCUGAAGAGACAUAUAUAACAUUACUUCCUCCUCCAUAAAGUCCUAACAAUACCU